GAGAUGUGAAUACGCGAUCGAGUGAGACCGAAUUAUAAACCUCCCUAAUCAGUCGAUAGUGAACCAACAUGAGUUAGUCAUAUUUGAUUAAUUGAUCUAAUUGGUGUCUAGGCAAGCCUAUAAGGUGGUUACUUAAUUAGGACCUUACUCUCCGAGUAAGAGGAGCCUCCCACCUGCUUACCUGGCCAAUUGUUCGAUUACCUCUUAUGAAGAACUCAAGUUGCAAACACUAAGACAUGAUUAUGCAAUAUUAAGUCCAUAGGUCUUCCACCGUAGUAGAGCUGCUAAGGUCUUUCCGGUGUUGAUUUGUCUCGGCU
rnacentral:lncRNA from 1 species